AUAUUAGAGUUUGAGAAGUGGUGAGCUCAAAUCUCCUAAAUUUAUAUAUUGAAAUACUUCUUGAGACCGACCGUCCCUAGAGCAAGUAGCAAAAGGCUUGGUGGUUGGUACUCUAAAAGCUUAAGCUGUUACUCUAUUAGAGAAUGGUGUUUAAAUAUUUUUAUAUUUAACACACCUCCUCACGUCUGGGCUCGAGGCUUUUUAAUCGGCCCAUGACGUGGGCUUGAAUUAAAUGGGAGGAAAUUAAUAUGCUAGGAGCCUGGCGUGACUCGAACUCAGGACCUCAUGCUCUGAUACCAUGUGAAACAACCGUUGUACUCUAAAAGCUUAAGCUGAUAGAGAACGGUGUUUAAAAAUUUUUAUGUUUAACAGAAUUCUAGUUGAUUAACAUUUCUAGCUAAGUUUAUUUUUAAAUAAAAUAAACGAAACAGAUAGCGUGCCACUUAUCUCUCAAAAAAAAAAAAAAAAA
rnacentral:lncRNA from 1 species